ACAAUAUACAAGGUGCUGCAUGGUUGUCGUCAGCUCGUGCCGUGAGGUGUCGGGUUAAGUCCCAUAACGAGCGCAACCCCUAUCAUUAGUUGCCAUCAGGUCAAGCUGGGGACGUCUAAUGAAACUGCCUACGCAAGUAGUGAGGAAGGUGGGGAGUGACGUCAAGUCAGCAUGGCCUUUAUAUCUUGGGCUACACACACGCUACAAUGGUCUGUACAAUAGGUUGCCAAGCCGCGAGGCGGAGCCAAUCCUUAAAGCAGGCCUCAGUUCAGAUUGCAGGCUGCAACCCGCCUGCAUGAAGAUGGAGUUGCUAGUAACCGCAGGUCAGCUAUACUGCGGUGAAUACGUUCCCGGGUCUU
rnacentral:rRNA from 1 species